UCUUCACUUGACUGUAUCUCAGCAUGCACUAAGACUGCUCUAGGCUAGCUAGCUCCUCCCAGUUAUAUAUGGGAGCAAUUUGGAGGGGUCCCAUAGGUCACCAACAAGUCACCUGGUCACUUACACCUUCCAUGGUUACACAGGGCUUAACAACAGGAUUUAAAGGUUGAAUGCAUUCUGAAGGGACAGCAAUGUCUGUGUGGUCCUAGCGCCAACCGAUUCAUUCUCUCCCGCUGGAGAUUCUGCAGCGUGAACCCAGCCUAACAAUUCUAAAGAUUUUCAGAGAUGAGAGCUAUGAAGCAGAUGCUGAAGGAUGUGUACUAUGUGCUGCUACAACAGGAACUCUCAGCAAUGAUUCAGAGUUUACACCCUAUAAUUUGGAGCUGCACACCAAGCAAUACCAUGUGCCUCUUAAAUACUUCUAAUAAAAAGUCAACUUCCUUAUGAUCUCCAAGCUAUUGUAGAUUUACAGUCUUGCCUUCAGCAGCAUUCAAGAUUUCAGCCUCAACAAGCAUUUUACCUUUUUACCAAAUUCACACUGAAUAACAAGCUGUGGGCAAAAUGAUACAAUUGUGUUUUCAUGUCUUGUGCGCAAAAAAAAACCCUCAUGUCACCUUCUCACGCAUAGCACUGUGUAUCAAUUUGCAAAAUACAUUGAAAAUGUAUCUAAACCCAUCUGUAGUUUAACUUACGUUAUUCACUUGUACCAAUAACAAUUACAAAUUCACUAAAAUUCGGGAUUACCCAAUGAUCUAAAGUAUCUUGUGCAGAUUGAUGCAGACCUAUUGAAUGAUGUGAGCAAGCACAAGACAAACAUGUUCAUUUGG